rnacentral:snRNA from 1 species
AUUGCUUCUCGGCCAUUUGGCUAAGAUCAAGUGUAGUAUCUGUUCUUAUCAGUUUAAAAUAUUUCCUCUAAUUAAUUCCCUUUUAAUGUGCAUGAAUUUUGUGCACUGGGCCACUAGUGUUAACAUAA